rnacentral:tRNA from 1 species
GGCUACGUAGCUCAGCUGGUUAGAGCACAUCACUCAUUAAUGAUGGGGUCACAGGUUCGAAUCCCGUCGUAGCCACCA